rnacentral:rRNA from 1 species
GACGAACGCUGGCGGCGUGCCUAAUACAUGCAAGUUGAGCGCUGAAGGUUGGUACUUGUACCAACUGGAUGAGCAGCGAACGGGUGAGUAACGCGUGGGGAAUCUGCCUUUGAGCGGGGGACAACAUUUGGAAACGAAUGCUAAUACCGCAUAAAAACUUUAAACACAAGUUUUAAGUUUGAAAGAUGCAAUUGCAUCACUCAAAGAUGAUCCCGCGUUGUAUUAGCUAGUUGGUGAGGUAAAGGCUCACCAAGGCGAUGAUACAUAGCCGACCUGAGAGGGGGAUCGGCCACAAUGGGACUGAGACACGGCCCAAACUCCUACGGGAGGCAGCAGUAGGGAAUCUUCGGCAAUGGACGAAAGUCUGACCGAGCAACGCCGCGUGAGGGAAGAAGGUUUUCGGAUCGUAAAACUCUGUUGGUAGAGAAGAACGUUGGUGAGAGUGGAAAGCUCAUCAAGUGACGGUAACUACCCAGAAAGGGACGGCUAACUACGUG